GGCUGUGUCUUCGCAGCACCCUUGUUCUUGAAGGAGCGCUCAACGGAGCCGCUUCCGGCCAUCUCUCCGUCGUCUACUCCUAAUCCUCCCCAGCGAGAUCGACACCCGAUGCCUCCGCGCAGGGCGUCCACCCGGCAGUCCACGACCUCCGCGGCCAGAUCUCAGGCUCCGGCCUCCCCUCCCGUUUCUCAGCCAGCUCCUCCUCCCCCUCCGGCGACGGCGGUC
rnacentral:lncRNA from 1 species